rnacentral:rRNA from 1 species
UACGAAGGGUGCAAACGUUGCUCGGAAUCAUUGGGCGUAAAGCGCACGUAGGCGGCUUCGCAAGUCGGAUGUGAAAUCCCACGGCUCAACCAUGGACGUGCAUCCGAAACUGUGAGGCUUGAGUAUGGAAGAGGGUCGCGGAAUUCCCGGUGUAGAGGUGAAAUUCGUAGAUAUCGGGAGGAACACCAGUGGCGAAGGCGGCGACCUGGGCCAAUACUGACGCUGAGGUGCGAAAGCGUGGGGAGCGAACAGG